UUUAUUCAUUUUCUGAGACCGGAAGUGGUCAUCAGCAAGUGUGGAGCCAAACGACAACAAGAUUCUCAGAGGGCGGAGCCAGAGAGCAGUGAUUGGUCAGACUGACUGAGAGCCAGAGAGCAGUGAUUGGUCAGACCAUAGAUAAUAUAGAAGACAGCGGGCUAGCGUAUCAAGUCUGCUAUAUAUAUAUGGUCGGAACGUCUGGUAGCAUCUCUGGCUGCUGUUGACCUUGUUUUUGGAGUAAAACACGGUGGAAGCUGAAUUAGUGAGGAUGACUCCUGCUCCUGUCAUCUCUAAGCUCCUCACACAUCUUUACCUGCACAUGAGGAAAAUCACUCCUGUAGAAUGCAGAUGUUCAGAGGGAGAUGAUGCCACAUCUGGUCCAGCUGAUGGAAGGUCUUGAAGUUCUCUGACUGGCCUCGACUGAAGAUGGUCGUCUCACUGGAUUUAAGGUUCAGAUGCUCAGUAACAAACUCCACCAAUGAGCCAACAGGGAAGCUUUAGGUUUAUUAAAUGUUGCUAUGAAGGUUUCACUGUUUUUCUUUGUGAAUGCAAUGAGCUCCAACUGAAACUUGAAUUAGAACUUAGAAGUAAAUCCUUCCAUCUGACAGGAUUUAGUUGCAUUAAUAACCUCAUAACAUUCUAAUUUUUAUUCCAGUCUUGGUUGGAAAUAGAAUCUCUGUAUUGAUUCAGGUAAAAACUGAACUUCACAGCAUGUUGGAGCAAAACAACCAGAUGAAAACUGUGAUGGUGUUGGAUUGUCAGACUGUAAUGUUGUAGCUCAAAGCAGCUUUUCUAGCUCAGUUCAUUCUGACAUUCAGCUAUGAAUCAACACAGCAGAUGGUGAUCCAUGCUGUGGAAGUCUCACAUCUCCUGAUUUAAUGGAGCUGCUUUGCACUUUUUACACUGUUUAUUCACCAACACUUUAUUUAAUAAAAGUCCCAUCUAGUUUUUAUGAGGAAUGUGAUGUUUUAAUUUCUCUGUGAAUAACUGCAGUCUAAUGCAACAGCUGGAAUUGUAACAUCUGUCCUGAUAUUGAGCAUGAAGUAUUGAUCAGAAUACUUAUGGUCAGCAGUCAUCCCUGAAGUUUUACAUUAAAAUCUUUACUUGUGUUGUGAACUUUGGUAAGAAGCAGAAACGUUAGCGUUGCCAUGGAUACAUGAGUGUUAAAUUCUGUCCAUGUUUCCAUUUUGGGAAAUUCAGUCCAGCAGAUGAGUUUGUUUUUACUGCCAGAUACCAUUCAGUCUGAGAUAUUAACAAUAAAUAAAUGUGCAUAAUGUGGAAAUGAACAGAUUUUAUUUUUAUUUAUUCCUACAGCUUCUGCAUGGAAAGUUCCAGAAUGUGGAGGAAUUUAGUCUCACAAUCACAGACAAUAAAUAUUAUCUGAAAGUUAGGUUAUUGUUGUUUAUCAGCACAAUACAAAAAGAUUCAUGUUAGAAAUAUUCCAGUUAAGACUCUAGAAUAUCAGGAUUUAUGUAAAUUUACCUCAAUAAUAUGACUGUUCAGGGUAAGAUUGUGCAGUGAUAUUUAUUAUGUAAGUUUAGCUGAUUAAAAUUUAUGACUCUGCACUACAGUAUUAUUUAUUAUUUAAAUUGACAUCAUUAUUAUAAUAUUUAGGGUCAGAAUCUACAGUAUUGAGAUUAAGAAAUCAAACAUUCUAUAAAAUGUAAAUACACUGAACUCAUUUGGAUAUAUUUAAGUGAGACUCUACAAUAUUAUUUGACACAAAUCUAUCUAAAUUUUAAUCAUUUUUACUCCAAACAUUUAGUGGACUGAUUUAAAUAUUAAAAUCACUCCUUUCUAAUCCUCUGCUGUACGUUCAAACCUGAGGCCUUAAAUAGAAACACACAAGUAUCUGAUUGAAGGAACUUCUGCAGAGUCCUGGUUCCAGAACAUGAUGAUAGAAUUAUAGACAAACUUUAACAAAAGCUGCCUGAGAGUUUACAGGUUUUUAUGUUGGAUUUCUUCAGUAAUUUAAUGAGUUAUCAGCAAUAAUCAAGUGUUCAUUUGAUGAACUUCAUUUCCUAAAACAUCCAGAAUUGGAGCUCAUAUCUUUGGCAGCUGUAAAGUUUCUGCUCCUUCAAAGUUCACAACACAAUGAAUGAAUUCCUAAAACACUCUCAAUGCUGGAGAGCGUUUGUGAUGCUGAAGCAGUGAUCAGUUUUUCUGUUUCUUCUCUGGAGAUGCACAAUGAGGGACGUCUGCAGAGACUGAGAAAGAGUCUCACCACAUCCUGACAUGAGGAAAAAGACUUUAUUGAAGACUACAAUGAGAAAAACUAUCAGACAGCAGACGGCUGCAUUCAAGUCUGUAGCUGCUGAAUUCAUGGAUGAAUCAUCUGGUACUAGAGAGGAAGACCAUCAAACAUCCACGUCAGCUGAUGGAGGUCCAAGAGUCUCACCAAACAAACAACCUACAGAGUGAAGACCUCAAAUCUGAUUGGACGGCCUCCUAUUCAGCCACAUGUGUGAACAAAUGCCUCUAAGCUGAUUUGUUUUCUAAAAUAAAUCUAGUUUGAGUCCUAAUCUAUGCCUGAGUGUUUGCUUCUUUACACCGCUGUUAACAGUUUAGGCUGUUAGAUUGUUCCAGAUAAGACGAGUACAAGAUUCUUCAGAGCCGUUCUACCACGAGCCUGACAGGAAGAACUCCAACAGCUACUGAAUGUUCCUGUGGUUCCGUCAAGGCUACAGGAGGAGCCCUAUGAGGACGAGCCGGUCCACCUGAUGGUGGCCAGUCGCUGCGGUUCAAAGCCAACACUGACUACGUGGACUUCUACUGGACCACACGGAGGCCUUCAAACCGGACCAACAAGUUCAGUGACUCCCCGACUCAUGGGUCUGAGGACGCCGCCGAGCCUCGGUCCAGCCGGCCUCCUGUCUGUGGGUGUUUGAGUGCUGAGAGGUUUGUGGAUGUAUGUGAACGUUCUGUGUUGAAACAGCAGCUUUGGACUCAGUAACGCCGGGAAAAACCAAGAGCUCCUUUAUUUGUGACUUCCACUAAAAAACUGAUGAAAAUAAGUUUGGCAGGGUUCUGACUGAUAACAG
ensembl:lncRNA